rnacentral:rRNA from 1 species
AAUCAACGCUGGCGGCGUGCCUCAGACAUGCAAGUCGAACGCGAAAGUUCCCUUCGGGGAAUAAGUAGAGUGGCGCACGGGUGAGUAACACGUAGGUAAUCUACCUUCGGGUGGGAAGUAACCCAGGGAAACUUGGGCUAACACCGCAUGAUGCAGCGGCACCACAUGGUGACAGUUGUUAAAGCGGGGGAGUUUUCGGUACCUCGCGCCUGAAGAGGAGCCUGCGGCGGAUUAGCUAGNGGUUGAGGUAACGGCUCACCAAGGUCACGAUCCGUAGCCGGCCUGAGAGGGGCGGUCGGCCACACUGACACUGACAUACGGGUCGAGACU